rnacentral:lncRNA from 10 species
AAAUGAUUGUAAGUUCUGGGCCAGAGAGGAAGAUGUGUGAGACUGAGAAGGUGCCCAGGGGACAGAUGUAAAACCCUCCUGUAGAAGAAUCAACAGGGCUUGCCUGAGUUCAGGCCUCAGAGGCUAGGGGAGUGGUGGUACCAUGGAGAACCAGGGAAGACCACAGAAGAAAGCCAGGUCUGGGCAGAAAGUUUAGCUUCAAAAGUACUCUACGUGGGAUGACUGUGUUCAUUUGACCACACAUAAGCAGUGACAGGUGGGAAGGACAGUGGGGCCCACAGUCAGAAGCAUCCCAUUCCCAAUGCUCAAGGUCUGAGGAUUUCUGGCCUCACAUGGAAAACAAGAGAGAUCUAAGAGUCCCUUCUUUGUCACCUCCUGAGACCUUGAUCUAGAAGUUUUCACAAAACCUGAGUUUGCUCAGGCUUCUGGUGACCUGACAACUGAUGGGGAAACACAAGAAACUGGAGAAGAUGCCAAGCCCAGAAAUGGCCGCUGGAAACCAAAGAUUCUAACAGAAGAUUACUUGUACAAUGAACAGCAAACCAAAUGCAAAGGCAAAUAUUUAAUUUUAGGUGGAGCUUUAUUUUCCUUAUAUCAGAAUAACAGAGACCUUGGAUCAAAGCCUCUGGGACUAAUGACAAAAAAAUUAAAUUAAGUGUAAUUAUAUGCCACUCAAAGACUCCUGGGAAGCCAUUCAAAUAUGCAAGGGUCCUUUGUGAGAGGUAGAGUUAGUUCUCCCUGAUUGAGAAAGGCAAACUGAGGAGGAGGUGGGCUGAGUGGAGGUAAUUGUAUUUGAUAAACUCAAUUACUACUUCUCAGCAACUGGGAUGUGUCCUGCUAAUACAAUGGAAAAAAUGAUUAUGUGUUCUAUCCCUUUGAUGAUCCAAGUGAACAAAAGUAGAAAUAACAAAGUUUCUAGAACCUGGCAACUUCAAGGCAAGACCAGAUCCUAAAUUAUGGAAGAUAUUUCAGAACUCAUUAGUACAGAUUGGACUGACCUACUUAGCCUGUUUGUGGAUGGCAGAUACCUGAAUGCCAGGAAAAAAGGGAUGUUGGUAGCCCCUUGAAGGCAGGUACUAGGUCUCUCUUCAGUCUCCUCUUGCACAUAGCAUAGGCAUUGCCCACAGUUGGUCUGGGGAAUGCUCUGUUUCUGUCCCCUGAGUAAUGAGGCCUUGCUGCUUUUUGGAUAUAGUUGUAUACACAGUAGUUGCUUCUGGUGUUUUCUCUUUGGAGUGGUUGUAAAAGGCAGCUUUAGUUCACACAUUGAUUCCAUGUUAGCCCUUAGAGACUUAGAUAUGUAAAAAUUAACAAACAAAUCCAAAACCAAAUCUUACCUUUAGCCAAAAACUAGUUAUGGCUUGAAUUGGAUUAACAGCAUUCUUUUCAUAGUGCUAUGAGUGCCAAUACAUAUUUUGCCUCUCCAGUUUUUGAAAACCUAUCUUUGUCCUAACCUUCAGACUCCCAUGUCUAGCUGCUCCCUGACUGCUCCUGCAGGCACUCAGAUUCAACCCCCACCGCCCUCCUAAACUUUCCCCUUCUCUCCACCUAAGCCCCCACUGUCCUCUGCUGGGCCCCCACCCAACUCCCUGGAGUAACCUAGAGUCACCGUUCUGUCUCAGCUAGUCUAAUGGCCACCUCCCAAAUAGCCCUCUCCCAACUUUCUUCUCAGGCCUGUCCUCUUUCUCCAACUCCAGCAAUAGUCAUAGGCCAUGCCCUUCUUACAUCACAUGGACAGGGCCGCCGUUCCCACCUGGCCUCCUGGCUCUAUCUUCUCAUCAAUCCAUCCUCUACGUUGUUGCUGUAAUACUCUUUGAAAACAAAGUGAAAAAAACGAAAUGCAGAGGGAUUACACUGCACGUGUCAUAGUGACUAAGAGCAUGGACUUCGUAAACUCCAGCUCUGCCAUGUCCUGGCUGGGAGCCUUAGUUGCUUCACUGGUAAAACUAGGACUAAAAAUAAUCCCUGCAGCAGAUAGCUAUUGUGACAAUUCAGUCAGCAAAUCUGUAAACGACAGUGCCUGGUUCAGAGUUACCUUUCGGUGACUGACCACAGCUUAGAGCAAUCGUUUCCACAUUGUGCUUAGAGGCCUGGGACUCUUUCUGUCAAUAAGCAGUUUUUGGUAUUCUGAGGAAAGCAGGGGAGCACUGACAUAUAAAAGACUAUUCAGGUUCUACUUUUAUUUUAAAUUUUAUGUGAAUGUUUUAAAUUGAAAACUGAUUUUCCCUUAAGCUUUUCAAAAAUUACACAUCCUUUAAAAAUUAUUUAUUAAUAUAUAUUUUUAGAGAUGGGGGUUUCACUAUGUUGCCCAUGCUGGCCUCCAACUCCUGUGCUCAGGCAAUCCUCCCACCUCAGCCUCCCAAGUAGCUAGAGGGGCAGGGAGCUGGACUACAGGUGCACACCACUGCAUCUGGCUUAAGCUUUUAAGUUUAACCUGCAGAUUUCACUCUAUUUUUUGAUCUAGCAAAUAUUUAGAAUCGUGUUAAAGGGGCCCCUAAAAUGUCCAAACUGCCUUUGAAAUUCCAUGUAUUCUGUUUUUAUUUUUUUAAAGGGUUCCAACUAUGUAAUUAAUCAACAUUAUCUUCUAAACUACUUCAUAAUUUUCAAAAAUAUAUGAAACAUAUUUGUGUAUAUAUGUAUGUGUGUAUAUAUAUGUGUGUGUAUAUGUGUGUGUGUGUGUGUGUAUAUAUAUAUAUAUAUACACAUAUACAUAUAUAGUAACUUUCAGUAUUCUUUUGUUGUUCUUCUUCUUUCGUUUUGAAAAAGGGUCUUGCCCUGCCACCCAGGCUGGAGUAUAGUGGUGCGAUCACAGUUCAUUGUAGCUUCAACCUCCUGGGCUCAAGUGGUCUUCCCACCUCAGCCUCCUGAGUAGCCGGGACCAUGCUCAGCUAAUUUUUUUAAAAAAUGUUUUUUUAGAGACGUGGUUUUGUGAUGUUGCCAAGCUGGUCUUGAACUGCUGGGCUCAAGCAAUCCUCUUGCCUCGGACUCCCAAAGUGCUGGGAUUAAAGGUUUGAGACACUGCACUUGGCCAACUUUCAGUAUUCUUUGUAAACUUAAAGCCUAUUGUAAUUUUUAAUUUAAAAUUAUAAGACUAAAAGUAAUAGGAAUCCUAGAUUAGAAUCAUAAGUCUAAUUUGUUUGAUACUGUAAUUUGAAAAUUCUCUUAAACAUGAUAUGGGUUCAAAUAUUAAAUUUAUAUGUAUUCUUAAAAUUUAACAUGUUACUUUUAGAUAGAUUUAUUUAAUCAUUCCUAUACUUAAAUGUAAAUCUCUUAGGAUUAGAAAGGGACUUAUUCAAUAAGAAAACAACUGUUUCAACUCAACUUGAGUGACUUGGGGCUUUUGACAAAUAUGUUCUGAAUUUAUUAACCAGAGAAGAUCCUGGCCAGGGCACAAAGCUUGAGUCUUGCCCAUGACACUGCAGCAGGCUCAGGUCUCUGACCUCCAAAUGGGCACUGUAAGCCCAUUCUUCUAUAUUCAGUAUCAGGUUACACAUUGCCUAAUUUUUGAUAACUGUCUAUUACCUCACCAAUAUUACAACAAACUCUGCUACUCUUUCAGUUAAAAUUUCUAUUUCUUUGACUUUUUAAGGUAUUAAUAUUUACAUGUAUUUUGCUCCUGGCUCUUUAUACCCUUACAAAUCAAUUUUAUCAUCUGAUUAAGGAGCAAAUAAAAUCUUGUUUUAUUUCUCCUCUAUAUUUUUCACUCUGGUAUGGCUACCAUUGUCACAGAUGUUAAAAUGACAUCAACAGUCCUGACUUCCACUUCUGCUCAAUAUGAAAUAACAGGGACUGAAUUGAUUGAUCCUCUUACCUGAAACAACAACAACAACAACACACACACAAAAAACCAGACAAAGUGUAUGAAACAAUGGCUCUCAAGACUUUGGGUAUGAGGCAACAAAGGACAGUAAUCCCUAAAAGACAAAAAAAGCAAGAUGAGUCCUACAGUUUCCAUACUUUACUGUCUGGAGAGAAAUUUCAGGCUGUGGAUUAGGAAGGGGGAACUCAGGAACUGCCCAAAAGUCUGCCUGAGUGAAGCAGGUGGAGCUAGGAAUCUGGGGAAGCUAAGAUGGCUAGUCUUUGCAGAAUGGAGAAAGGAAAAGGAGACAGCUAUACAGAAAGAACUCUAAAUAUUAACAGAGGGUCAUCCUCAAGUGUUCUGUUGAGUACUGCUCAGUGCAUGCACGUGAGAAACUACUACCUGGGGCACCUGAAAGGACAAGAGGGAACCAUGGCCCAAGAUCACACAGAGGUGAGCAAAGUGCUCAUUUCCAAUACCAGCCUGGAAGUCCUCAAAACAUGCAAAGUAUUGGGUAGACUGAGAAGGGUCUUUCCUUGCUAAUGGGGAAAAUGAACCCUAGAGUAAAUGCUGCUCUUGUGUAUAAAAGCAAGAUCUAGAAGAAUCAGGGUUUCCAAAUAAUGGUAUUCAAAAAAAGAAGAAAAAAAAGCUUAAGAAUACUUAUAGAAAUAUAAAAAUAUUCAGCACUCAACAAGAUAAAAUUCACAAUGUCUGGCAUCCAACCAAAAUUCCAAGGCAUGUAAAGAAACAAAAACACAACCCAAAUGAGGAGAAAGGUCAGUCAAUUGAAACCAACCAAGAAAUGACAGAGAUAAUAAGAUUAGAAGACAAAGGUUAAAACAAUUAUUGUAACUAUAUCCUACAUAUUCAAAAGGCUAGAGGAAAGAUUGAGCAUAAUAAGUAGAGAAAUGGAAGACCUAAGUUGAACUGAUAGAAGUAAAAACUAUAAUGUCUGAAACAAAAAAAAAAACUAGAUGGAAAUAUUGGCAAGUUAUAAAUUGAACCAGAAAAGAUUAAUGAACUUCUGAGGCACAGUAAUAGCAACAAUUUAAAAUGAAACAGAGAGCCGGGCAUAGUACCUGUAGUCCUAGCUACUAGGGAGGCUGAGGUAGGAGGAUCACUUGAGCCCAGCAGUUCUGGGCUGUAUUAUGCCGACUCGGUGUCUGCACUAAGAAUGGCAUUGAUACGGUAACCUCCCAGAAGAUGGGGGACCAUUAGUUUGCCUAAGAAGGGGUGAGGUGGCCCAGGUUGGAAAUGGGGAAGGUCAAAACUCCUAUACUGAUGAGUAGUGGGACCGCACCUGUGAAUAACCACUACAUUCCAGCCUGGGCAACGUGGUGAGACCCUGUCUCUUAAAAAAGAAAGAAACAGAAAAAAUGAACAGAGCACCAGUGAACUUGAGACAACUUCAAGUGAUCAAUUAUACAUGCUUUUGGUAUCCCAAAGGAGAGGAGAGAGGGAGGAACAUAAAAAAUAAAAGACAUUAUAACUAAAAAGUUUCCAAAUUUGAUAAAAACUAUAAAUCCACCGAAACCCAAUGAACCCAAGUACAACAAACACAAAACUAACCAAGGUGCAUUAUCAUAACAUUACUUAACACUCCUGAUAAAGAGAAAAUCAACUGGGCAACCAGGGAAAAAAAGGUCAAGAUAAUAACAGAAUGCUCAUUGAAAACAACGUAAAUGAGAAGACAGUGGAGCAAUAUCUUUAAAGUAAUGAAAAAAAAUGCUGACCUAGAACUCUUUACCCAGUAACAAUAUUCUUCAAAAACACUUGCAAAAUAAAGAUAUUAUCAGACCUCAAAAAGAUGAAAAAAAUCAUCACAACAUACCUGCACUGUAAGAAAUGUUAAAGGAAAUUCUUCAAGCAGGAAGUAAAUGAUACCAGAGUAAUCCUGGAUCUACAGAAAGGAAUAAAGAGUGGCAGAAAUAGUAACUACGUGGGUAAAUGUAUAGACUUUUUCUUUCUUAUUUAGAUUUCUUUAAAAGGCAGUAGACUUUUAAAGCAAAAAUAAAGUAUAGUGUGUUUUAUAACAUCCGCAGAAGUGAAAUGUAUGUCAAUAGCACAAAGGACAGGAGAGAAGAAAUAUAAAUAUGCUGUUGUAGGGUUCUUUUACUGUAUGUGAAGUAGUAUAAUAACCCUUGAAAGUGAAGAAGCAUACUGCAUAGUAAAAACAUGUUUCCUUCUGUAUAGUCAUAACACUUCUGACACCAGAUGUGCAUGUGUAUGGGUUUCUGCCCACAAGAAACCCAUUUUAAUCACGUGCCACACCAGGCAUUUCUCCAAUUCCCCUUGGACACCAACUGGCUGUCUUAUAAUUCAAUUAAAUUAUGACAGUAUCUACCUAGAGUUAGCACAGAUUCCACAGGUUAAGGGCUCAAUCCCACAAUGCUGCCUCUGACUUCAGAUGCCCAUCACAAGUAGUGGGUCCCAAGUUACUCACAACUUCUGUCUGGCUUGGCUACAGACAGAAGGGAUAUUCCCAUGAUCCCCUCCUCAGGUUUUAUCAUUUGCUGGGAUGACUCACAGAACUCAGGAAAACACAUUUACAAAUGUAUACAAAGGGCAUUGCAACAGAUACAGAAGAACAGCCAGAUGAAGAGAUACAUAAGGCAAGAUCUGGAAGGGUCCCAAGUGAAGGAGUUUCCGUCUCUGUUGGGGUGGGGUGUGCCACUCUUCCAGCAAGUGGAUAUGUUCACUAUUCCAGAACUCUCCAAAACCUGUACUUUAUAUGGAGGCUUCAUCACAUAGGCAUGAUUAAUUAUUCACUCAAUCUUCAACUCUUCUCCCCUCCCUGAGGAUGGGGGAUGGGGCUGAAAGUUCCAGGUUUCUAAUCUUGGUGUGGGCUUUCUGGUGACCAACCCCCAUCCAGGAGCCCACCAAGGGUCACCUCAUUAGAACAAAAGAUACCCCUAUUGCCCAGGAAAUUCCAAGGGAUUUAGGAUUUCUGUGUCAGGAACCUGGGUCAAAGAGCAAAUAUUAGAACAAAAGAUGCUCCUAGCACUGCUAUUGCUUAGGACAUUACAAGGGUUUUAGGAGUUCCCACAUCAGAAACCAGGGUCAGACACUAAUAUGUACAUAUUUCUUUUUAUUUCAUACAUACUAUAAACUCUAACCACUAUGGAGUCUAGCUAAUAAGCCAUAAAAGGAGAUAACAUAAAUACUCAAUCCAAAAGAAGACAGAAAAAGAAAACAGAUAGGAUGAAUAGAAAACAAAUAUCACAAUCAUAGCUUUAAACUCGAUCAUAUCAAUAAUCACAGUAAGUGGAAAUGGUGUAAGCUCCCAAAUAAAAAGACAGAUAUUGUCACAUUGGAUAAAAAUGCAAAACCCAACUAACUGCAUACUGCCCACAAGAAACCCAUUUUAACCACGAAGAUUUAAUCUGCAUAUUUAAAGACUGAUAUAAAUAUUUUAAAUAUAAAGAUAUGAAUGGAUUUAAAGGGAUGAAAAAUUAUACCAACGUUAGUACCAAUAUUGUCAAACACAGAUUUCAGAAUAAUGAAUAUUACUGGAGAUAGAGUCAUUUCAUAGUAGUGGGGUGAAUUCUUCAAGAAGACAACAUUCCUAAACAUCUAUGUGUCUAAUAACAGCACUUCAAAAUAUAUGAGACAAAAAUUGAUAGCACUUCAAGGAGGAAUAGAAAAAUCCAAACAAAUAGAAAACCAGUAAGAAUAUAGAAGACUUGGACAACAGUAUAAACCAACUUGACCAAACUGAUACUUUUUAGGUCAUUCCACCCAACAACAGCUGAAUGCACAUUUUUGUCAAGUUCAUGUAGAAAAUUUAUGAAGACAGAACACAUUCCAGGCCAUAAAACAAGUCUCAAUAUAUUUAGGUGGAUUCAAGUCCUACAAAGUAUGUUCUCUGACCACAAUGGAAUUAAGUUAAAAAUCCAUAAAGAGAUCUGGAAAAUCUUCAAAUAUUUGGAAACUGUGUAAUACACUUUUAAAUAAUACAUAGGUCAAAGAAAAAACAUAUUAGAAAGUACUUAAAACAGAAAAUGAUAAUAUAGGAUUUCACAGUGCUUUGCAGCUAAAGCUGUACUUAGGGGGAAAUUUAUAGCAUGAAAGAUACCAAUAUUAGAAAAGAUCUCCAGUCAUGACUUCAGCUUUCACCUUAAAAAAGCAGAAUAAAAAGAGCAAAUAAAAUCCAAAAAUGUGAGAAGAAUGGAAAUUAUAAAGAUAAGAGUGAAAAUCUGUGGAAAAAAAAUACAUAGAACCAAUAAAUAGAAAAAAUCAAAAGCUGGUUAUGAGAGAAGGUCAAGAAAGAUGAUAAACCUCUUGCCAAACUUAAAACAUAACCAGAAUCAGGUAUGAGAGAGGUGAUAUCACUAUUAAGGGGAUAAUAAGGGAUAUUAUGAACAAAUUUACGUCAGUAAAUUUGGCAAUUUAGAAUAAUGGACAAACUUGUUGAAAGAUACAUACUACUGAAUAUUAAGUAGACUGAAUUUACAUGUGCCUGAAGAAAUUGGAAUUACAUUUUUUCUUUAAUAGAUAAGGUCUUGCUCUGUCACCCAGGCUUGAGUGCAAUGGCACAAUCAUAACUCACUGUAGCCAGGAACUCCUGGGCACAAGCGAUCCUCCCACAUAACUGGGACUACUGGCACAUGCCACCAUGCCUGGUGAAGUUUUGUCUUUUUUUGUAGGGAUAGAGUCUUGCUGUGUUGCCCAGGCUGACCUUGAACUUCUGGCCUCGAGCAAUCCUUCCACCUUGGCCUUCCAAAGUGCUGGAAUUACAGUCAUGAGCCAUCAUGAUGGCCUUGAUUUACAUUUUUAACAAUAUGCAGAUUUUCUUUGGGCUGCCUUUUCCCCCAGUUUUUAAAAUGAGUGUGUACCUUCAUGUAUGUGUAUUCACAUGCAGAAAACUUUGGACAUAUUUUUCUGCAAUUGAAAUAGCUUUCAAGUUUCUGAACAAAAUUUCUUUUCAUGAAUGCUAAGUUGUUGAGGGGAAAAGUCUGACUUUUCAAGCUGAGCUGCAGAGAGGAGGUUUCCAAGGAAUGAGUGUCCAUCUGGAGAUAUUCAAGCCUUACUCUCUGGAUUUCCUUUGUUUAAAAAUACAUGCUUCCCAGAUAUUUGCAAAGAUGAGUGUGCGCUGCUGUGAGUGCCCACGUUGUGGGGGGCCCUUCAAGGCACAUGACAAGGGUGGAGCCAGAGUCACCUCAGUGACUUGGAGGCCCCACACUUCCCUGGGUCUCCAUUCCCACUUCGGCACCCAGGAAGGGGUUCAGAGCUCAGGGAUGAGCCUCUAGUGUAAUGCGCAUGGGGCAGUUUCCCCCAGAAUCCUGAACAACUUGAAUUUAGGACAUCUUAGUCUGUCCCAUUUUAAUUAGGGGAAAAUCAACUUAAGGGUCUCCUCAGUUUUACAUGGUCAUUGGUUGGAAUGUGGAGGGAGGCUGGGAUGAGUUCUUACCUCUUUUGCUCAUAAUUAUGUAAACAGGAAAACAUGGCCAUGGUUGGAGGAAGAGGCCCAAAAGGAGACUCAAGGGGACAUUGGCUGUUAAAGCAGCAGGAGACCUGGAGACACUGGGGUGAGCUGGGGAGACAUGAGAGUGGCCUUCAGGAAGUGUGUGCCUCCAGGAUUAUGUGGGCUCAACUGGCAGUAGGUGCCCAGGAGCUGUAGGUACCCAGAAGGCAGGGAGGGCAGAGGCAGAGCCAACAUGUGCUACAUAAUAUUUUCAACUUUCAACAUUCCUCUGUGGUUAGGGGACUUGUACUAUACUUCAGAUAUGCAUAGAUGAUCUGGCAAAGGGGACUAUGCCUACCAGCCACAUUGCAGAAGCUAAUAACUGGGAGACACUAUAUGACAAAUUACUUGAAUUGGGUGUUACAUAUGAGGUCAGGGAUGACAUUCCUAUUAGACUAUUCAGGGCUUUCAGGGUGUUUGGUAAUGUCUCUGUUCCAGUUUCAUUCCGCAAGUCCCUAGUGAGCACCUGCUAUGUGCCCCUAUCCAGUGCCAGUUUCUCUGGUCCUUGACCCAGGCCCCCCUAGAAGGAGCUUUCAGUUUAGUAAAGGGGAGACAGCAGGGCUAAUUAGAGACAAAUCAGAGACUUAGGGCUGUCGCUCAGAGUGUGACCCACAGGAAGCAGACAUGUGCAGAGGCAGAACCAGUGUUGGCGGGAGUUUGGGGAAGGACCAAUCUUAAGCUGAGUAGAGCUGGGACAGGUAUCAGAGGGCCAGUAUUAGUCUGGAUAGUCUAUUAGGCCAACACAGGGUGGUUUUUUCCAUGUAAUGAAAUGUUCAACAACUCCAGUAAAAUUGAUAUGAUGUAUAAACCCAGUUGAAUUAAAGUUAGUGUUUAAGGUUUAGGAUUUAAGGGACUAGAAACGCCUGCGUGGCUCCAUCUGGAAAAAGCUUUUGGGAACACCAAACAGGUGGUAUCGGGCCCUGUGGGGGAUGUGCACAGCCUGGGGCCCCUGCACGUGUAUUUCUAGGCACUGUUUUCUCCAGGGAGACGGGAGAAAGGGAGGUAUGCCCUGGCCUUGAUCUACAAUAUUGAGGUCACUGGUAAAAGUUCUUUAGGUUUCCUUAAAGGUGUUAGGGAUCCCUCCAACGGUCAGAUUGUGGGGUAAAUUAGGGUGACAAUAACUUAGGAACACUGGGGGAGGGGGUGCUGUGUUGAAGGCCGCCUAUGGCCAUGUGCCUGCUUGUCAGAAUCGUGGACACCAGAAGACAGGGAUGGGGUCUAGGGAACUUGACUCUCUAGCUGGAACUCAGCUGGGCACAAGGCAAUUGGGAAUCCCAUUCCAGGGGCAGAACUGGGGUACAGGGUCUGCCGGAUGUGAAGGUCUGAGUAAGAAACAGAGCACUAGCUAUAUCCCAAAGGAAGCCUAAGCUCACAGCACUAUGAAAGGGGGCUACGGUGCCCCAGUACUUUUUGGUGAAUGCUAAUAUUGGUUUAAGUACCUGGGCUGGCAUGCCCCUUCCUGUUGUGUGAAGGGUUUAGAUCCUUUCUUGGCUAAGAAAAUGAAGCAGUAGGCUGACUGCCAUUUUGUUAUGAAGUUUCUCCCAUGCAUAUAACCUUCAGAGUGAACAGGCUAUGGCAACUUCAAAUAAAAAUCAGAUGAGCCAAACCAUCCCCAGUUUACACAUGAGCGUGUUCUGGGGGAAGGAAACCAGCCUCUAAAAGGUAAUGCUGGCAAAAAAAAAAAAAAAAAAUAAUGCUGAAAUAAUCAAAUAUUUGUUUAAAUGAUUACUUGCUAUGCAAACAAUUUUAAGAAUUUAAUGGAAAUUUAGAAUAGAUGUCUAUGGGGAGAAAGGGAAGAGGGUGACCUUCAAAUAAGUUUCCCCUAAUAUGGUUUUAACUAUUGGUCUUUAAAAUUUUUUCCUUUUAUGUAUUUGUACACAUGCACGCAUAUCUCAUGGGGUCAUGACCCUACAAUAUGCAUAGUUGCCUUUCCAUUUUCACCUUGGCAUUUUUAUAUAGUGGCUUCAUGGAUUGAUUGAUUAUCUACUUAUUUAUUUGAGACAGAGUCUUGCUCUGUCACCCAGGCUGGAGUGUAGUGGCGCAAUCUCAGCUCACUGUAGCCUUGACCUCCUAAGCUCAUGUGCUUCUCCUACCUCAGCCUCUCGAGUAGCUAGGACUACAGGUGCAUGCCACCAGGCCUGGCUAAUUUUUUUUUUUUUUUUGUAGAGAUGGAGUCUCGCUGUGUUGCCAGGCUGGUCUCAAAUGUCUGGGCUCAAGCAAUCCUCCCACCUCGGCCUCCCAAAAUGCUA